UGAACAAUUACAAUAUUGGAUCGCAAACCAAGGAUUAUGAUUAAUCCAAUUCUGUUGACCUGAGAGUCAAA
rnacentral:snoRNA from 10 species